AUGAAGGGCCAGGAGGGCAUACCGGUCGAGACUCAUCAGUUAUUGAAAGACGUAGGGCAGGAUCUGACCGAUAAUCAGCUCCUGAAGGUGGCCGAAAAGCUGGGAAAGGAGUGGAAGCCGGCGGCCAUCUACCUGGGGCUGAAGCCCAAAGAUCUGGACGACAUCAUGGCAAAACAUAGAACUUUGCUUCAUGAUAAAUACAAGAUGUUGGUGCUGUGGAAGCACCGAAGACCACCAGGAAAGGCCAAAGCACAGGACCUGCUGAGAGGCCUGGAAAAACUGAAGGACCUACCGGUCGAGGCUCGUCAGUUAUUGAAAGAACUUGUGCAGAAUCGUUCUAAACCUGGUAAGAAGAAGAAGCCGUCAUGCAGUAGCGCACAGGGGAGCCAUCCUGGUGAGCUGUCCUCGUCUCCGCCCCUCAAAAAGCCUGCUAGUGACGGGAUGCUGGGACCUGUACAGAAUCGAUCUAAACCUGUUAAGAAGAAGCUGUCAUGCAGUAGCGGACAGGGGAGCCUUCCUGGUGAGCUGUCCUCAUCUCUGCCCCUCAAAAUGCCGGCUAGUGACGGGAUGCUGGGAAAUUUAUCCGACCCGACGGUGGGAAAGCCAAGAAAAUCAAAAAGAGGGGAGCUUCAAGGGAUCCAUUCUGAAUUUGUGAAGAAAGUUAAAAUCUCAGUUAUCAGAGGUCUCCUGGGUGACCUUUGGCAGCAGAAAGUGUUCAGUACUGAGGACAAAGACUCUGUGAUGGAGAAGGGGAAGAUCAAAACGGACAUAGCAAGGUGUCUGAUCGACAUGGUUAUCAGGAAAGGGGAGAAAGCAAGUCGGAUAAUGAUUGAUAGUAUGAAGAAGAGGGACCCUGACUUAUGCUCCACCCUGGGUCUGAUCGCUUCUCCUGCUGGUUUGGGAAAUAAAGGCGACAAGACGUUGGUAAAGCCAACGAAACAAAACAAAGGAAAUGGAGGCCAGAAAAGAAUUGGAAGUAAAUCAGAAGAAGUGGCCAAUAAGAAACCUUGCACGGUUGAUGUGUCAGAAAGCAUCACUGAAACCCGCUCCACAGGGCAGACUCUGACUGAAAAGGAGCUCAUGAAUGUGGCCAAAACGCUGGGAAAUGAGUGGGAGCAGAUUGCCAUCCAUCUGGAAAUAACGACCAAAGCUUUGGAGAACAUCAAGGCAGAACAUAGAUCUGUGGCCAUGCAGAAGCUGAACAUGUUGGUGCUGUGGACGCGCCGAAGACCACCAGGAGAGGCCACAGCUCAGGACCUGCUGAAAGGUCUGGAAGACCUGGAGGACCUACCGGUCGAGACUCGUCGGUUAUUGACAGGUAUCGUACUUCACCCCCACACGGCGAACGUCCAGAACAUUUGAGCAGCUCCCCUCUUUUACAGGAUCCAUUAGUUUACAUUACAUAUUAUUUGUGGUAGUUAUGUAGUGUGGUCACAGUUGCAAUUGAGUUUAACUUGUUUUUUGUAUAUGCACUAAGGACGUGUCUCUUUGUUUCCUCAGACUUGAUGAAGUCGUAGCCAUAGUGAACUAGAUGGCUCUGUCCAAAGAGAACAAUGAAGAUAUGCAGAAUAACCUGAAACAGUGAAGCUGUCUGUGAAUGCAUCCUGGUCGUUGGGAUACGGCCAGAUGAUGACAACAGAGACAUUAUUCAAAAGUGUAAGCAGCCGUGAGAGCUAGGCUCUUGUCAGGAAUCGUGCAAGUACAUGAAAUGCAUUCGGUAAGGAAACUUCUUUAAGUGCUAAAUUAUAGAAACGAGAUGAGUUUUCAGUCUGCAAUCUUUUUCCAAAUGUCUUGAACUUAAAGUAAUUAAUGAUGUCAUGUCUAGAAUAGGUCCUCCUUCCUCUGCUAUUACUAAGCUGUUCCCCUCAGGUACCUCCUAUAGACAAGACUAGAUGGUUGUGAUCACAGAGUUUCUGAAACAAGUUGACUUUAUGCCAAAGAAAGAUAAUAAUUUUUCUAAGUUUCCCCAAGAGGCAGCUGGUAUUGUGUCAGUUCAUUGUUUUUAUAUAUUAUGUUAACUGUCUGAGCCCGAGCCAGGAAGGUUCAGACGUCUGUUUGGGGAAAAAUAAAAGUGGUUUGUGGGAAAGGCUUCCUUCUUGCUUUAUUGUCCAACAUAUUUCUGUAGUAGUCAUGCCAACAUAUUCAAUAUCAAUUAAAACGUUGAUGACAUUAAUAUAAUUCAACAGCAUUCAAUAGAUAAUGGGAUACAUUAGUGUAAAGCUAUUAGUCCCAUUCAGCUCAAUGAUUAGUAAUUAUUAUGUUGACAUGGAAAGAAAAUUGCAUUCAAUGUAAAAGGACCUUUACUUGUAAGCUGUGACCUAUAGUUUUACAUUUACAGACUUAACUAGAAUUCUUACCAUUCCUGAAGAAAUGGUACUUGCACUGCCACUACAUCUGUGUAUUUGUUUGUGUAUGUGUAUAUAUUACGUAUGUAUGCAGCAAAUUGUAUCCUGGAUCGGGUUCUGACAAGGCCAUCGUGGAAUCCUGGAGGACUUCAAGUCAGGUGAUCUCAUACUUGCUGAUGAGGGAUUUCUAAUCU
rnacentral:lncRNA from 1 species